rnacentral:rRNA from 1 species
AUAACGACUCUCGGCAACGGAUAUCUCGGCUCUCGCAUCGAUGAAGAACGUAGCGAAAUGCGAUACUUGGUGUGAAUUGCAGAAUCCCGUGAACCAUCGAGUCUUUGAACGCGAAGUUGCGCCCGAAGCCGUUAAGUAAGGGACGUUUGCUGGGUGCUCG